AUACGGAGGAUGCGAGCGUUAUCCGGAUUUAUUGGGUUUAAAGGGUGCGUAGGCGGGAUUAUAAGUCAGCGGUGAAAGUUUGAGGCUCAACCUUAAAAUUGCCGUUGAAACUGUUUUUCUUGAGUAUAUUUGAAGUAGGCGGAAUUCGUGGUGUAGCGGUGAAAUGCAUAGAUAUCACGAAGAACUCCAAUUGCGAAGGCAGCUUACUAAACUAUAACUGACGCUGAAGCACGAAAGCGUGGGUAUCAAACAGGAUUAGAUACCCUGGUAGUCCACGCCGUAAACGAUGAUUACUAGCUGUUUGUGAUAUUACAAUAAGCGGCUAAGCGAAAGCGAUAAGUAAUCCACCUGGGGAGUACGCCGGCAACGGUGAA
rnacentral:rRNA from 1 species